rnacentral:lncRNA from 1 species
UUUUUUUAAUCAUAUUUAAUAUUUGUUUUAUUUAUUUGUUUAAUUUUGUAUUAUUCAUUUUAAUAACAAUGCCGCGUCCUAGAAGAUCUAAUCUUUCCCAGCGAAGCCGUAAUGCAAUUAGGCAACGGAAUAGCUCUGAAACAUGAGAACAGUGCCGCGUUAAUAUGGAGCAAAGAAGGGCCUUAAUUCGUGCUUCUCAAACACAAGAGCAAAGAUAGAGAAAUCGUCGAGCUUAUCGUACAGAAGAACAGAUGAAUAAUCUUCGAAGUGCAAGAAGAAAUGGUUUGAAUCGAGCAGCGUUUCUGUAUGAUUGCAUUAUCGACUACAGCUUGCAUCGUUUAGUUUGCAUUGGUCCAAUGGACGUUGUUUGCCAGCAUUGUGGAGCAUUGAAGUCUGCUGGUGCAACGCCUGGUUUGUGCUGCCUUAGUGGUAAAGUGAAAUUGCCAUUAUUGGUCCCGCCACCAGAGCCAUUGUGCUCCCUGCUUUAUGGCGAAACACUAGAAUCCCGACAUUUUCUAGCGAACACUCAAAAAUACAAUGUCUGUUUCCAAAUGACUUCAUUUGGGGCGGAAAUUAUCGAAGAACACAGAUAUAAUCCGACAUUUAAGGUAAUCUUAUCUAUAUAUAUAAAAUAAAGUCUAACUAUAACUAUGGUUUUGACUUUACAGAUUCAAAGCCAGAUUUACCAUCGCAUUGGAUCAUUGCAACCUAUAGAAGAUGCACAGCAUAAAUUCUUGCAAAUAUACUUCAUGGGCAAUAUGGAAGAACAGCUUGACAGGCGUCAAAGGAUCAACACAGCUACGAAAAGAGCAAUUCUCCAAGAUCUGCAGCAAAUGCUUCAUGAACAUCAUGCAUUGGUCAGGCUGUUCAAGACUGCUUUAGAGCGCAUGCCAAGUGAUGACUAUAAAGUUGUUAUCAGAGCAGAUAAAAGACCAGCUGGAACACAUGAGCGCACAUUUAAUGCUCCAACAAUCGAUGAAGUGACAAUCCUGAUUGUUGGUGAAAACUUGGAAACACGUAAUAUUGUACUUACACGACGCAAUACUGGACAACUACAAAGAAUAUAUGAAACACACCGUUCGUCGGCAAGUGUUCCAAACGGUAUCCACGAAAAUUGACGGUAGAGACCAUUACAGGCAACGAUGGUUAUCCAUUGUAUCGGCGUCGAUCGCCCGAUGAUAAUGGUAGAACUGUCACAACCAAAGUGAAAGGAAACGAUUUCGUAGUUGACAACAGUUGGAUUGUUCCAUAUUCGCCACUUCUUUCCAAAACAUUCAAAGCACAUUGUAAUGUUGAGUAUUGCAAUUCGGUCAAGUCAAUUAAAUACAUUUGCAAAUAUGUCACGAAAGGGAGCGACAUGGCGGUUUUUGGUAUCCAAAUAUCCAAUACCAACGAUGAAAUCACGCGCUAUCAAGUUGGUAGAUAUGUGAACUGCAAUGAAGCAAUUUGGCGUAUAUUUUCAUUCCCUAUUCACGAACAUCAUCCCACUGUUCGGCUCAAGAAAUUACGAUCUUGAGGUGAAUGAGGAGAUCCAUAACCUGACUUUGCUCUUGAUCGAAGAUAUGUGUUACCUCAUGUGCGGCAGUUUGUUAGUUAGGUUAGGAAUGCCAGCGCCAGAUCGCGGAAUGAAUGACGCAUUUAAUAGAGAAUUGGAACGUGAACAUGAAUAUGAUCCACAUGAACUAAUCCAAUCAGUUCAAACGAAUGUACCUCAGUUGAAUCCUAAGCAGAGGGAAGUCUAUGAUACACUGAUUAAUGCAAUUGAUGAUGGAAAUGGCGGCUUAUUUUUUUUGUAUGCCCCCGGUGGAACUGGGAAGACAUUCCUCAUGUCAUUGAUUUUGGCCACUGUACGUGCGAGAUCCGAAAUUGCGGUAGCAAUUUAUAUGAAAUAUAUAUUUUUGAUGAAAU